rnacentral:siRNA from 1 species
UCCAACGGUUAGGAUAAUUGCCU